AGAGGGACACUUUCUUGGCACACGAAAUUCAGUAAGAUUGUUGGUUAGGGCGAGGGUCUACUGGUUAGACCAUCAAGCUGUAUAAUCUAGCAGGUUCUAAACGUUCGGCUGCGGGGUCAUCCUGUAGGAGUGCUCUGAUGUCUCUAGGGAGGGCAGUGGCUGUGUGGUGACCUCCAAUGUGAGCUGCAGAUGAGAAGACCAGUGUCCUCUGGCUUCUUGUUCGUUUCUCUGAUUAAUAUCUGUUGACUUUAUGUAAGUUUCUCCCAGAUCCAGACAUAAUGUCCUUCAUGUUCAGUGGACAUGAAGGGUCUUUGGCUCUCUCCAUUGGUGGGCCGGGGGAAUCUUGACCCACGUGCCCAUGAUCUUGUCUUGGUCCUGGUGACAUGGCUUAGGUUAGAGGGCCUGUCUUAAACUCUGGAUGAACUGUGGGCAGAGGGCCCUGCUUACUCUUUGCAGCUUGUGCACGUCUGCAGAGGUUUCUGGGCAGCCAACAUCUGGCUGCAUCUGCCACGCUCACUUUUAUAGUCUUCCUUCCCAAGUCUUCAUUAAGGCAAACGUGGAUCAACAGCAAACCAACUGGAUUCCUGUUAUUGGAAUUUCAUACUAAUAGUUUACAUUGGAGUGGGGGCUGGGGGAUAGCCUUCUCUUGAGGUGUCAGUUCAGACACCAUCUGCUCUGGGACGGUCAGGUUUUAUUCAGCAGCACCACAGUGAAGAGGCCGCUUUGGGGAGGCUGGCAGGGAUAGACACGAGCUCUCUUAGAUUUCUCAGCUGGCUUAACUUCCAUCAGUUUUGUAUGACAGGGUUUUACACAAGGUUUCUUUAAAAGCUUUUUUUUUUUUUUUUUUUUUUUUUUUUUUUUUAGCAGUUUUAAAAACCACAGCUGGAAAAACACUAGCAGUGUAAGCUCGCAGCGAGCAAUUGGGAAGAUAGAGAUAUGCGAAUUAGCCUGUGGUCAUGCUGUUCUGGUCAGCAGAGGGGUAGACGCAGCUUCUGUGAGUUCAGGAGAUGCCUUCCUCACCCACCUGUCCUUGGUAUGCCAGGGGCAUGACUAACACUCGUUUUCAAGUGCUCACAUUAUUUGCUUAUUAUUAACAUCGUGUGAACUUAAUUCUACGACAGCCGAUGUCUAUACAAAAGAGGAGAGUCAGAUGCAGAGAUUCAGAAAGUCAGGGGGAAUUUUCCACACGUAAGUUCAGCCAUUUUCAACUGUACAGUCCGGGGGCCUUUGGUACAUGUACCAUGUGGCUAUGCCACUUCUUCUGGGUCCCAGAACCAUUUAAGCACCCUGGAAUGUAAUCUUACACACACGAACUAAUGAUUCCACAGUUUCAUUUCCUUUGCCUCUCUAGAUCCUGGCAACUACACAUCUACUCUAUGUCUCUGUGUACUGAAUGGGUCUAGAUCUGGGACAUAGAUGAUGGCUUUUCUCACCCCAAACAGCAUCUUCAAAGUUUAUCCACAUCUUAGCAGGUAUCAACCCUUUGUUACACAUAUACAUACACAUGCAUACAUACAUAUGUACAUCCAUAUAUACAUACACACGUCAUACAAACACAAACAUAGGUAUGUAUUUUCAUUGUAUGGCUUUGCCACAUUUUUUUCCCCUAUGGCAGUUUCUAUAUUAUUAUUUUGGUUUCAGCAACAUCCGUUCUUGUUCCUGGAAGUGUGUUUCUUUGUUAUUGAGUACAAAGGGUGAGAUUAAGUACACAUAGCAGCUGACUGCAUCCGUGGCCUUCUUUAGAACCAACUAGUGGCCAUUACUUAGCGUCGUAGGGACUACCUUGGCUCUGGCUGAAUGUGUCUCUUUAUCUCCUUGUGCCCCAGUUUCCUUUGCUAUAAAUUAGGCUUGAUGACUGCUUGCUCCCGACCUCGAAUGGAGUCAUGAGCUCCUAGACGUCAGACACUGUGCAUCAUACCUAAGUACAAUGCAGCACAUAAUAAGCAACCUCUGGUUUGUUUUCUUCCUAAUUACCUUUUUAAACGUCGACAAACAUCGGUACGCUUUCCCAGGCUUGCUGAGCCUACUGCUCUCUCUUUCCAGAACGUGCCUCGAUCUAUGUCACAGUAGAGCUCUUUCCAAAGUGGACCUGAGGAGGUAUUUUUAAAUCUUCCUCCUCCGCCGCUUUGUCUGUUAAUCUAUUUCAGAGUGGAUAGAGGGUGCUUGAGGUCAUUGGGAACCCACUCCAUGCUAAGCUGGGGACCUCAUGGAACCCUGAUGGCGGCCCUAUGAUACAGAUGCCACUAGAAUUUUAAUGAAGUCGCAUGGCUUAUUCAGUCCCAGAGUCAGGCUCUAAGAGAAGAGAAGCUGGGUCCAGUCAUUCAGACCCCGAGCCCGGGGAGAAUUGCAAAGCGGAAGAAAUGAUUGCAGUCCUUGAACAGGGAACUCCAGAUUCAUACCCACUUUCAAGUUCAGAAUUCGACGGCGUCGGUUUGGAUGAAGUCACAAUGGACCAUGGUGGACCUGAGUCUAGUAACUGGAAUUGCCACGGGAAAAAGGGGAGGACGAUUCCAACACAAAAAUGCAAAGAGGUCCAUCUGUAGGAAGACGGGUGCAGAGGCUAGAGUGAUUCAGCCGAAAGACAGGAACCUCUGCAGUGGUUCCUAACCCUCCUGACGCUUCGACCCUUUAAUACAGUUCCUCACAUGGUGGUCACCCCCGCCAUAAAAUCAUUUUUAUUGUUACUUCAUAACCGUGAUUUUGCUACUGCUACGUAGCAUGGUGUAAAUAUUUUUGGGACUGGAAGAUUGGCAAAAGGGUCGAGACCCACAGGUUGAGAACCAGUGCCCCUGGGGCAUCCAGCAGUCACUAGAACUAGGCAGUUAAGCAAGAAACACCCACCAGAGCCUGCGUGGGGAGCAUGGCACUGCUGAUGCCUUGAUUACAGACUCCCACCCUGCCUCUAAAAUGACAAGCCAAUGAAUGCCUGCCACCUGAAGUCACCCAGCCUGCAGUACGGCAGGCAGCCUUUGGGAGCCGACGCCCUCCCAAACAUCCCAUUUAUAACAUAGUAUGUGCGCUCUCCCACUAGAAUCAUCGUUCAGAGUUGUAUUCCAAGGAAGGAGCCUUCUCGAUGAAUCUGUACAAAUAGUUAAAGUAAGAUGGAAAUCCUGUGAAAACUGUCACUGGGUCUGUGCGUGCUUUGAACCACGCGGCUGUCGGCUUCUCAGGAAGUGGAGAUAAAGGCGGAAGGGAGGCAGGGUUGACGUAGACAACACUUCAUUUAGCCCUGGCUUGUCUUAAACUUGCUAUGUAUCCAAGGAUGACGCCGAUGUCCUGAUCGUACCUCCAUUUCCUCAGUACCACUGUUGCAGGUAUAGCCACCGAAUCUUGAGUCGAUAAGUACCCUGUAAUGACGAUGGUUGGAUACUGUAUAUGUAAAUACCCUUUCACCCAGUUGACUGAAAGAAGGAAGCAGGUUGCUACAGGGUGUUGAAGGACUCAGACGGAGCCAGGCCAGGAGGCAGGCGCUUGGCCCGCUUUCUGGGUACCGUGAAUACUCACCUCACAGGAAUGUUGCCCAUCAUUAAUGGUUGAAGAACAUUCCGACCCACGGAUGAAAGGCAGGAGAUAAGUACAGAGUGCUGUGGUUGUCUUUGUUAUGAUUGCUGGCUUUCAUUAGCGUUUUACGGGGCCCUCUCUCUCAUGACCGUGCCAAUGAUGCCGAAGCGUCUUGGGAAUUCUUAGUCCACGAUCAGUCCUGGUUAUCUAUUGCUUUGUUCAAUUUGUCUAGGGCUUAAGCUAAUUGAAUUAUAGCUUAGUGAAAAUAGUUCUAAUUGAAGGAUAAAUCAUUUCAGCUUUCAUGAGCAAGCUACAAGGUAACUUAAAAAAAGAAAGAAUGAAUGGAAGGAAGGAAGAGAAAGAGAAAUAAAGAAAAAAAGAAAGAAAGGAAGGAAGGAAGGAAGAGGGAAAGAAGAAAAGAGAGUUCCAUUUCUUUUCUUUUUUUUGAAAGUUUCAUUUCUUACAUCUCUCACUCUCCUGAGACCAAAAUUUUUCAUCCUCAGUCACUCACCCAUCUUGUGAGUAGGAAGCUCGCACGGGUGUGUUCUGGUGACAGUUUGCAGGGUUGAUGUAGGCUCUCUAGGUUUGAAUGUGUCUGAUUGAGCAGAAUCUGUUUCCAUGACAAUUAUCCGUCUCUCCCGUUUCUGUGCACACCCCCUUGACUUUUUCUUUUUGAACAGGAAUUCACUGUGCAUCCCUGGCUGCCCUAGAAAUCACGUUGAGCCUCCUGCCUCUGCCUCCCAAGUGGUGCGGUUAAAGGCAAGCAUUGUGUUCUACCAGGUCCAACUCAGAUACUGAAUAGCAAAUAGUUUAUGUUCAUGUAUUUCCCACCCUCGGUCAUUCUCAGCCUCAUUAGACAGACGACAGAUAAACCAAUUAAAAUACCUUAUAAAGGGGACAGCAAAAUAGUUCGGUGGGUAAUGGUGCUUGCUGCAAAACUUGAAGACCUGAGUUAGAUUCCUGGAAUCCAUGCUGUAGAAGGGGAAAACAGACUCCUGUGAGUUCCCCUGUGGCCUGCAUAUGUGCUAUGAUAUCUAUGCACAUGCACACACACAAAAAUAAAAUUAAACUAAGUGAAUGAAAAAAAAUGCAUGCUCCACUAUGUUCAUAGCAGCCUUAUUUGUAAUAGCCAGAAGGUGGAGACAACCCAGAUGCCCUUCAACAAAGGAAUGGAUACAGAAAAUGUGGUUCAUCUACACAGUGGAAUAUUAUUCAGGUAUUAAAAACGAGGACAUCAUGAAUCUUUUGGGCAAAUGGAUGGAACUGGAAAAUGUCAUCCUGAGUGAGGUAACCCAGACCCAAAAGGACAUGAAAGACGGGAGACUUGCAUGGCAUUCCUCUGAGAGGCUCUACCAGAAGCUGACUGAUACAGAUGCAGAUACUCACAGCCAACCAUUGUACUGAGGUUACAGACCCCAGUGGAAGAGUUAGAAGGACUGAAGCAACUGGGAGGGAUGGCAGCUCCAUAGGAAGACCAACGGUGUCAACUAACCUGGGCCCCAGGGAGCUGCCAGAGACUGAGUCACCAACCGGGCAGCACACUGGGGCUGGUCUGAGGCCCCUGGCACAUAUGUAGCAGAGGACCACCUGGUCUGGACUCCGUGGGAGAGGAUGCACCUAAUCCUGUAAACUUGAUGUUCCAGAGAAGGGGGAUG